AGCAGCAGUGGGGGAAUAUUGCACAAUGGGCGCAAGCCUGAUGCAGCCAUGCCGCGUGUGUGAAGAAGGCCUUCGGGUUGUAAAGCACUUUCAGUCGUGAGGAAGGUAGUGUAGUUAAUAGCUGCAUUAUUUGACGUUAGCGACAGAAGAAGCACCGGCUAACUCCGUGCCAGCAGCCGCGGUAAUACGGAGGGUGCGAGCGUUAAUCGGAAUUACUGGGCGUAAAGCGCAUGCAGGUGGUUUGUUAAGUCAGAUGUGAAAGACCCGGGGCUCAACCUCGGAAUUGCAUUUGAAACUAGGCAGACUAGAGUACUGUAGAGGGGGGUAGGAAUUUCAGGUGUAGCGGUGAAAUAGCGUAGAGAUCUGAAGGAAUACCGGUGGCGAAGGCGGCCCCCUGGACAGAUACUGACACUCAGAUGCGAAAGCGUGGGGAGCAAACAGGAUUAGAUACCCUGGUAG
rnacentral:rRNA from 1 species